rnacentral:lncRNA from 1 species
UCAUUUCAGUGUGUGUUACAUUUUAACGUUGUGUCGUUUGUUUUCUCUUAUUUUUGAGUGUGGGUUCACAUUACCGUAAGAUGUGUCACGGUACUUGUCUAUCCCAAAUUCAUGCGCUUGGUUUGGAUGUUAUGUUUGUUGUUCUCGUUGGAUUUUGUCUGGUGCUUGGUCCGUUUCUGUGUGAGUUGCAUUUUGAUAUUGUGUCGUUGUUCUUCUCUUGUAUUUAAUGCGUUUCCCUCGGUUUCGGUUUGUUACCCCGAUUUUGUUCUAGUCCAUGGAUUUAUGAGUUUUGAACUGCGGUAUACAACUGUCAUUAUU